ensembl:piRNA 21ur-7083 ncRNA
UUGAACGUUUACUAUCGCCAU